GCUCAGAGACGCAGAGUGUCCCGAACAAGAUGGACGGGGGCAAGACUAACGUGUAUGUGAAGUUCGCAAAAACGCGCCCACAGUCUCCUUCCAACGACGACCCGACCUCCACCUACUCAGAACUGAACUUUACAACAAAGGAAACCCUCAUCGACGAGGAUGAGGACCCUCUCAGUGCCUCGGGGCCCGGCGAGCUGCCAGUCACUGCACAGACAGGCAACAUGGGCAGUGAACGACCCAGAAGGAGAGACAGAUCAG